AUGCAUCUCUAACAGAUCUGGAGCAGCUAAUGUCUGCUGCUAAGGUUUCCACUAUAGAUGCAAGAAAAAGAAGGUCUUUGCGCUUUCUGUCAGUCUGGUUGUGGCAGCCAAGAUUGAAUGGGGGAGUACAGGA
rnacentral:snoRNA from 1 species